CUCAUCGCAUCCUGGGGCUGGAGAAGGUCCCAAGGGUCCGGCUGUUCGCCGGUUAAAGCGGUACGCGAGCUGGGUUCAGAACGUCGUGAGACAGUUCGGUCCUUAUCCACUGUGGGCGCAGGAAACUUGAGGGGUUCAUUCUCUAGUACGAGAGGACCGAGAAUGACGCACUUCUGGUGUGGCAGUUGUUCCGUCAGGGGCAUCGCUGCGUAGCCAUGUGCGGAAGAGAUAAGCGCUGAAAGCAUCUAAGUGCCAAGCUCAUCCCAAGAUAUGGUUUCCCGGACGCAAGUCCCUAAAGACCCCCGGCAGACUACCGGGUUGAUAGGUCAGGCGUGUAAGCGUGGUAACGCGUUAAGCGGACUGAUACUAAUUGGUCGUGCGGCUUGAUCGUAUU
rnacentral:rRNA from 1 species